rnacentral:rRNA from 1 species
AGGAUCAUUNAUGGAUAAAACUUUGAGGAUGUUGCUGGCUUUGUCUUUUGGGAUGAGGCAGGUGCACUCCUCGGAUAUUCUUUUGACCACCUUUCACAAACCAUGUGCACCCUCUGUAGGUCUGGCCUUUUGUUCCAAACCUAUGUUUUAGCCAUCUGCUCCAUGGAAUGUCAUUUGAAUGUUGAAUCUUCUUUGAUAAUACACAACUUUCAACAAUGGAUCUCUUGGCUCUCGCAUCGAUGAAGAACGCAGCGAAAUGCGAUACGUAAUGUGAAUUGCAGAAUUCCGUGAAUCAUCGAAUCUUUGAACGCACCUUGCGCCCCUUGGUAUUCUGAGGGGCAUGCCUGUUUGAGUGUCAUUGUAAUCUCUCAACUUUGGUCUUUGGUUUCUUAACCCAAGGCCCAGAGUUUGNAUGGUGGAGGUGUGCUGGCCGCCCCCCGUGGAGGGUCAGCUCCUCUGAAAAGAAUCAGCAAAGGGAAACGUACCUGUUCCUGCAUCUCGUGCUUCUGGCAUUGAUAAUUGUCUAUGCCUGUUGUGGCUCAGAUGCCUUUUGGAUCGGGCGAGNGUCUUUGCUUACAGUUGUCCUUUGGACAUUUUGACAAAUCACCUCAAAUCAGGUAGAA